rnacentral:lncRNA from 1 species
CUGGUCUCUGGUAAAGGUCUUCCUAAUGGCAUGAUAACAUCUCGGAGGGCAUCAUGUACUGAUGGAGCCAGCAUGCUAGCUAAGUUCUCUGUUCCUGUAAAGCCACUAAUGCCAUCCUAAUGACCUCAUCUAAUCCUCAUUAUCUCCCAAAAGUACCACUUCUAAAUACCAUAUGAAUUAGGGAAUUAAGUGUCUAACACAUGAAAUUUUAGGGAACAUAUUCAAACCAUACAAUAAUAGAGGGACCAGCUCAGUCAAAUACCAUGUUACUUAAUAUUACAAAGUUUAUUUCUAAAGCUCAUAAAAUAUAAAAUCUUCUGGUAGGCAGGUCACACUUUCAUAAUUGCAAAUUACCUGUGACUGGAAGAGUUAUUUAUGUAAACGUAUCCAGUGGGUGAAUUUUUAAGGGUCAAAAACAGGAGUGCAGACUGACUUUUUACUGAAUUCUAAAUUGUCUGUAGGCCUUACUGAAUGUAUAGUGUUUCUAAACAUAUAAGCAUCCCAAUCUUCUCUUGUCUUAAUGUCUUUCCUAGGUACUAUCCCAAAGGAAAGAUGUGAACCCUGGCAUAGCUUUCUUAUUUGAACUCUUUCUCCUUCGUGGGAAACAUGCCUGCCUUGGCCAGGCUGUGGGCUGGGCAGUCUUUCCCCUGUGUGAUAACAACUUGGACGUAGUGGAAGGAAAAUUCAAGUGUCCCCUUCUCCGAGGACAUUAUGACCGGAAAUCCAGAAGUUUUAGGAAAAUUGAAGAUUUGAUUUGCCUGGACUUGGACCACUGGCUGUGCAAUCUCUAUUAUCAGGUUUAUGUAUGGGGAGCUGACUCAUAAAGACACAAUUGAAAAGGUGUGGCAAACCUUUGAGAAAUAUAAGAUGAAUUCCUAUGAAAUUCUGAUGUACAAGACAAACAGUGAGUAGUCAAACCAUUCUCAAUCAUACCUUUAUGUGCUUGUAAUAGC